GAUGAACGCUGGCGGAGUGCCUAACACAUGCAAGUCGAGCGGCAGCGCGAGUAGUUUACUACUUGGCGGCGAGCGGCGGACGGCUGAGUAACGCGUGGGAACAUGCCCCAAAGUGAGGAAUAACUGCCCGAAAGGGUAGCUAAUGCCGCAUAUGAUCUUCGGAUUAAAGGAUUUAUCCGCUUUGGGAGUGGCCUGCGUAC
rnacentral:rRNA from 1 species